rnacentral:rRNA from 1 species
AGUGAACGCUGGCGGUAGGCCUAACACAUGCAAGUCGAACGGCAGCACAGUAAGAGCUUGCUCUUACGGGUGGCGAGUGGCGGACGGGUGAGGAAUACAUAGGAAUCUACUUUUUCGUGGGGGAUAACGUAGGGAAACUUACGCUAAUACCGCAUACGACCUACGGGUGAAAGCAGGGGAUCUUCGGACCUUGCGCGAUAGAAUGAGCCGAUGUCGGAUUAGCUAGUUGGCGGGGUAAAGGCCCACCAAGGCGACGAUCCGUAGCUGGUCUGAGAGGAUGAUCGGCCACACUGGAACUGAGACACGGUCCAGACUCCUACGGGAGGCAGCAGUGGGGAAUAUUCGACAAUGGGCGCAAGCCUGAUCCAGCCACACCGCGUGGGUGAAGAAGGCCUUCGGGUCGUAAAGCCCUUUUGUUAGGAAAGAAAAGCAGCAGGUUAAUACCCCGCUGUUCUGACGGUACCCAAAGAAUAAGCACCGGCUAACUUCGUG